rnacentral:ncRNA from 1 species
AACUAUACGGCAAAUGUAUAAAUAUGUUUAUUUAUUGGUUGCAUACGUGAGGAAGGUAUUCCAACUAUGACGCUGAACGCGCGAAUGGCUCAUUAAAUCAGUUAGGGUUCCUUGGAUCGUACCUUACUACUUGGGUAACUGUGGUAAUUCUAGAGCUAAUACAUGCAGCAGAGCUCCGACCCUCUGGGGACGAGCGCUUUUAUUAGACCAAGACCAAUCUGAUCUCGUGUCCGUAUUAUGUAGUGACUCUGUAUAACUGUGUGCUCUUCCCGUCGACGUAUCUUUCAACUGUCUAUCUUAUCAACUGAGAAUGGUAGGUUAAGACCUAUCAUGGUCAUAACGGUUACGGGGAAUCAGGGUUCGAUUCCGGAGAGGGAGCCUCAGAAACGGCUACUACAUCCAAGAAGGCAGCAGGCACGCAAAGUACCCACUCUCAGAACGGGGAGGUAGUGACGAAAAAUAACAAUUCGGAACUCUUUUGAGACCCCGUAAUUGGAAUGAGUACACUCCAAAUCAUUUAACGACGAUCAAUUGGAGGGUAAGCCUGGUGCCAGCAUCCGCUUCAAUGCCAGCUUCAAUAGCGUACAUUAAAGUUGUUGGGGUUAAAAAGCUCGUAGUUGGAUCUCAGUUCCAGACGGGUAGUCCGCCUAUCGGUGGUUACUGCCUGCUCUGAACAGCCAGCAGGUUUCCUUUGAUGAUUUUCACCGGUUGUUUUGGGUGACCAACAAGUUUACUUUUAAAAAUUAGAGUGCUCAAAGCAGCAGUGACGCCUGAAUAAUGGUGCAUGGAAUAAUGGAAUAGGAAUUCUGUUCUAUUUGGUUAGUUUUCGGAAUACGAGGUAAUGAUUAAGAGGGACAGACAUUAGAAAUUUAAUUGAAUCUGCGUGUUAUGCAUAAAUUAAAUUGUCUGUGAACUGAAGUGAGAUUUCUCUUUCUGCGUUCAAUC